UUCGCAAUGCCCGAAAGGGUGACGAAGCGACGCCGCGUGCGGGAAGAAGGCCUUCGGGUUGUAAACCGCUGUCGGGAGUUAAGAAAUGUAAGGAUGUUAAUAGCAUCUUUGCUUGACUAAGGCUCCGGAGGAAGCCACGGCUAACUCUGUGCCAGCAGCCGCGGUAAUACAGAGGCGGCAAGCGUUGUUCGGAAUUAUUGGGCGUAAAGAGCACGUAGGCGGCUAUGUAAGUCGGUUGUGAAAGCCUUCCGCUCAACGGGAGAACAGCAUCCAAUACUGCAUGGCUUGAGUGCGGGAGGGGAGAGUGGAACUUCUGGUGGAGCGGUGAAAUGCGUAGAUAUCAGAAGGAACGCCGGCGGCGAAAGCGACUCUCUGGCCCGUAACUGACGCUGAGUGUGCGAAAGCUAGGGGAGCAAACGGGAUUAGAUACCCCGGUAGUCCUAGCCGUAAACGAUGGGCACUAAGUAGAGGGGUUUU
rnacentral:rRNA from 1 species